CAAUUAUUGGAAACUGCUUUCCGAGCAUCUCCUAUUGACUUAGUAUCCAUGGAAUACCCAAUCUGUAAGGUUUUGCAGUUCGUUAGCGCGCGCUUCUGAGACCAUGUCGUAUGGCUGUGUGAGGUUAUGGCGCGCUAAUAUGACUAUUUAAGCGGACCAUUUCAUGAACAUUGUAAGUCUAAGUUGAAAUUGAAAGCCCGAUCUUCUGUGCUUACGCAAGUAUAUCGGCCAGUAAAGUCAGCUUGCACUUCCCAGUUGUUAGGAGCGGCCUGGUUCCCUUUCAAUUGGUAUCAGAGCCUAGGUGAUCCUCCUGGGUGGUGGAGCGAAUGUGACGCGACUGGGUGAGGGGGGAUGUUUCGCUGGGUUAGGCAUGGGGCCAAAGUAACCUACUGUAACGAACGCGUUUUGGGUUUCUCGUCCCGGUUCUUGGUCUGGCUAGCUGCUCAGCCCGGAUUCAAAAUCUUAUUUUAGGCGUAGCCGAAAAUUUGGUUUAAAGAGGGGCGUCAGAGCGGCGUCGUACGGUGCAGUUAGUUGGUUGUUAUUUUGAACUGCUAUUUGAUCGGUGGGGUUUAGUCUUGUCGAAUUAUCUUCCGGGCGAUCUCGGACUCAGCUGCUGGUUGAUACGAGCUCUCUUUACCAGAACAGCUGCUAGCUGCCGCUGUUAUUGUCCGUUGGUCAGCGGUGUGAAUUUGACGACCUUUCUUAUCGCCAAAUCGUUAUUUUCGUUAUUUUCUCGCGCAUCUUGGAGGGCGGUGGAUUAGGAGGCCCUUGGUUACCUCCUGACGACUCAUUGUCUGCCAUCGCUGGAUGUUACAGACCAGAAGCUAUAAAAGUAUUAUGAAAAGUGUCCCCCCUGGAUCUCACUGCAACCCCCUGCACAGCCCCAUGGAACCCUCUUAACGACGCUGCCACCAGCGCUUCACUGUGCCCAACGCCUGGAACGUGGGCAGGGGUACGGACUUCUUCGCCCUGAUAGCGACCGAGUGAUCGACCCAUGGGUCAGGUGGAACUGACUGCAUUAACCCCAGCCUCUCUAAGCGAGCCGUUACCAUGUUGUUGUGCUCCGUAAGCAUUUCCUGGAAAUAAAACUCCGCCCUCCCGGUCUCCAUAGUGCGCAUCAUGUUGCCAAACAUCUCAAUCAUUGCGAACGUCUGCUCGCAAACCUUGGUGUUGAACAGGUCUGUGAGCUUGUACAACCACAGCUGCCCAUCCGCACCCUGCACGCCCUCAUACUUGAAAAGCAUCCGGCCCUUCACUUCCUUCCCUUGGAACUGCGCAGGGGACAACCAAGGGACAACCGCCUUGCUGCCCAGCCGUGCGUUAGCUUGCUCUGGACGGCUAACCCGCCCUUCCUUGUCCCCCCCACCCCCUCCUCCUACUCCCACACGCCCCACCCAUCACUGGNNNNNNNNNNNNNNNNNNNNNNNNNNNNNNNNNNNNNNNNNNNNNNNNNNUGACACGUCCGUGCCGUACACUCCUGAGCAAAAUGGCCGCGCUGAGAGGCUGAACCGCACACUCCUGGAGAAGACCCGCGCGAUGUUGCAAGACUCAGGAUUGCCGCAUGAAUUAUGGGCCGAAGCUAUCACCACUGCAUGUGCCCUGCAUAAUUGUUCGCCUGUGUCGGGCAAGCAGAUAACGCCCUUUGAAGUCUUUCCACCGUGUGAAGCCAGAUGUCUCUGAUUUGCGCGUGUUUGGGUGUACUGCGUGGGUGCAUGUCGAGAGGAGGCACCGCAAUAAGCUCGAUGCCACGAGCCAGAAGGGUGUGUUGGUGGGCUACGAACGCAACUGCAAAGGAUACCGGAUUUUAUUGGACGGGUCUAAGCGUAUCGUAGUGAGCAGGAGCGUGCUUUUUGAGGAGACGCCAACGUCCCGCACGCUGCCUGCAAAUGAUAGCGAAAGCAGCGGCAGCGGAAGCGAUAGUGAUGAUGAGGACGAUGUGGCUAGCAGUAGUUGCAAGACUGCAGCCCCUCCCCGGCAAGGGGAGCAGUUUAGUCCGAGCGAGGCCGUAGAGGAUAGUCAAGGGAACGCGACGAUUGGAGAUUCAGCUGAGUUGAAUGAGGGGGAGCCUAUGGUAGUUGGCGCAGCACCUGAGGCACCUGAGGAGGAACCCACGGCUACUGGCGGUGCAGCCGAUUCCGCCAAAGGGAAGCCUAAGACUACCAGCGGGACCACUAAGGGGAAACCUAAAGCUGUCGGUAAGGCAGCUGAGGGGGAGGAUAAGGCUGGUGCAGCUGCCUCUACACAACAUCGUUACCCCCAACGUGACCGUCAUCCGCCCCAGCGACUCAACCUUGCUGUUAACGUAUCGGACGUCAAAAUCCCGAGCACCUACGAGGAAGCGAUGGCCUCUCCGGAACGGGACAAGUGGCAGGAGGCGAUGGUUGAAGAAAUCGGAUCUAUCCACGCAUUAGAUACGUGGGAGCUGAAGGUACCGCCGCCUGGGGUGAAACCGAUUCCGGUGAAGUGGGUGUACGACGUGAAGCGGGGUGUAGACGGACAAGUGGAACGAUACAAAGCCCGGUUGGUAGCAAAGGGCUAUAAACAGAAGGAAGGAGUUGACUUCAAUGAGGUAUUCGCGCCUGGUAGCAAUCAGGUGACGUUGCGUACAUUCCUGGCGAAGGCUGCGGCUGAAGGAUUUGAGGUACACCACCUAGACGUGCGCACUGCGUUCCUCAACGGGACGCUGGAGGAGGUGAUUUAUUGUGACCAACCGCCUGGUUUUGAAACGGGUGGCGCAGGUAUGAAGUGUCUGUUGAGAAAAGCGUUGUACGGUUUACGUCAGGCAGCCAGAGCUUGGCACCAGAAGUUGCGGGANACGCUGGAGGCUAUUGGUUUCAAGGUUUCUGAUGCGGAUCCCAGCUUCUUUACGCUGGAAGAGCAGUCAUUUGUGGUGUGGCUAUACGCUCACGUAGACGACUUGCUAGUCGCGAGCAACAAAAGCGAGGAAAUAGCCCGUAUAAAGCAAGAGUUGAAGGCUGAGUUUGACCUCCGUGAUUUGGGGGAGGUGUCGUUCUUUUUGGGUAUGGAGAUCAGUCGGAGCAAGGAGCUAGGCGAGGUCAAAAUCUCGCAGCAGCGGUAUACGGCCGAAUUGUUGGCCAAGUUCGGGAUGGAGGAUGCAGUUCCUAAGUCGGUUCCUAUGACGCCAAGUCUAGUUUUGAACCGUACUAGUGAUAUCGAUCAGGUAUUGUUGGAUGCAACGCGCUACCGAGAGUUAAUUGGUGGCUUGAUGUAUCUGGCAGUGUGCACGCGUCCUGAUAUCGCGCAUGCUGUGUUUAAGUUGGCGCGGUAUAUGUCUGAGCCGGCGAAGGCUCACUGGGAGGCUGCUAAGGAUAUCCUGAGAUAUCUGAAGGGGACUGCGAGUUUCGGUUUAUGUUUUGCCAGGGACAGCAAGGCAAUUGAGGGUUAUGCCGAUGCGGACUGGGCAGUGGACCGAGACAACCGCCGUUCGACAACUGGAUAUGCCUUUAUCCUUGGCGGUGGAGCCGUCAGCUGGAAGAGUCGGUUGCAACCGACUGUAGCAGCAUCGACUGUGGAGGCCGAGUAUAUGGCGGCGUCCCUAGCUACUCGCGAAGCGCUCUGGCUGAGGAAACUUCUGCCCGAGUUUGGGUGUGAGAUCGACGUGAUGCGUAUCUGGGGUGACAACCAGGGAGCAUUAAGUUUGAUAAAGAAUCCGAUUGUUUCGGAACGUGUGAAGCACAUCGAUGUGAUUCAUCAUUUUGUGCGUGAGAGGGUAUCUAUGGGGCAGGUGAAGUUUGAGUACUGUCCCACUACCAGUAUGGUAGCAGAUAUUCUCACGAAGCCGUUGCCGGAGGGGAAGUUCGUGCAGUUCCGAGAAGGGCUGGUUGUUCGUUGAGUUGGAUUCGCCCGAGUGUUCCGUCCGAGGGGGAGUGUUGACUUCCGGCCAGAACACUAACGGCUGUACGACAGAUAAGAUGGAAUGUUUGGUAUAAAGGAGAUGAUGUUCUGACUGAAAGCUUGUUCUGUGAUACCUGUAACGGUUGAGGUUGGCUUUACCUACACAGUUCCACUCGCCUAUAUCUUAACACUGUCACUGUUCUCUGGUAUAUGAGUGUCGGUCACUUUCCAACACGUUGGAAUGUUUGGUGGUGGGGGACGGGACUUCUUCCUUCGAACUCAUGGUGCGUUCUAUCAUUGCUGAAAUGUCAGCGCGUGAUCCGUACUCCCUACUAAUUUUCUGUGGGGAAGGCCAUUGCGUCUGCAACCAUACUCCCGCGGUACCCAAACCCUUCAAGGACAACUCCGACCAGCCCCAAACACACCGCGGAGCGGUCUCCCCUNNNNNNNNNNNNNNNNNNNNNNNNNNNNNNNNNNNNNNNNNNNNNNNNNNCACCCGAAUAUCCCCUAGGCGACAGAACACCUAAGGUGAACCAAAACCGAACUUACUUGGUCUUCUAGCCUGAUUUAGGCUUUACGGCUAUGGAAUGCAGGGUGGUCUAGGCGAAGUCCUGCAGGUAGCUGGAAUGCUGACUAGACGGCACACGAGCGGGCAAGUCGUAAUACGCAGCAAAUAGCAACCCGCGAAAGGGGCCAAGAUUCCCUCCAGGCAACAAAUCAACAGUGAUAAAGAUUUACCUUACCGACUGAGUAUGCCCGGCGUGAAGGAUAUGGGCGUUGAGUGGCCCACACAGGAGUUCGGCUGGUGGAAGGAAGUUACUUAUGCGGCUUAAGAAAAGGGAGGUCCGCACAGGGCUUGUUGUCUAGCUCAGAGAACUUUACAAUGUUCCAAUCAUGAGCCGUAAAGCGACUUUUCCAAGCUCGCUGCCGGCUAUAAAUACCGAAGUCUCACUGUCGAUCACAGGAGGCCCUCAAAAGAUAAGCCUCGAGUACGACCACGACGUAUAGUCCACAAAUGACACAAGUGAAACACCUUAUAACCCGUGUGACAGAACAUUCACACAAGAAAUAAACAAUUCACAAGUAAAGUACAUAAACGUACGCAAACGAGCGUACAUUCUCGUCUCGUCCAUAAGUCCAUCAGCGAAGUGUAAGAUGAUAACCAAACACCUUACGCGUUUAUACACGAUAUUCGCGUAUUCACACCGAUUAUAACCUAAGACGAUUAUAAAAGACGGUAAAAUGAACGUGACGCUAAAAUGUCGUGACAGGUCGGUCCACUCGGCGGCCUUCACGUAGCAGCAAGCAUCGAGGUAGCUGCGGAUGAGUUGUAGGCCAAGGUGGAAGCCUGUGAAGGCUUGCAGACGAUGGCCAAUCCCUUGGCGCCUUCUGCUCAUUGGCCAUGAAGUCCGCACUGAUGUCAUCAGCCUGCUCUAGAGCAGCCUGAUCGUCCCGGCGGCGCUUCUCGGAUACCUUUUCUAUGGCAUUCAUCACCACCGUUUCUAAAACCGCGGCGCCGGUUUUGGCGGUGCCGGCCGGCGGGGAGGAUCCAAUGGCGCCUAAACUCCCACCAGCCCCACCUGGAACAGUGGCGACAUUCUCGGUCGAUGGCGCAUUGUCGUUAAUAGUUGACAUUGGAAGGAAUUGAAAUCGGAAAACGUAGAAAACUUGAACAGUUGUAGGUCGGAACUUGAAAUGGUAAGGCUUCAAGUACAGCCUGUCACGCUGACUAUUUGGACAAGGCUGUAUGCUCUUCUGUGUGAAGGCAGAAUGACUUCACCAGGAGAGCAGCAAGGUUUAAGUCGCCACUGCGACCCAGUUGUACGACAGUACCACAGAACCAGCCUUAGAGGCUCCGGUCGCUUCGCUCCGUCGCAUCUAAGCCAACAAUUUGCCGGAGCUCUCAGCCCGGCACGUAGGGCAGGUACUGAUGUCCGCUGCGGCGACUGCAUUCCUGAACGUGAACCCCGCCUGAUGAAGCAGAUUCUUACGUGAUGUAACGGUUUUGUGGACGAACAGUAUACCUCUGCCACUAGCUGGCGGGAGUUCGCGUCCUCACUGAGGAUGAUGGGCCUGGCAGGCCCAUCAUCCUCAUCGGUGUCCGAACCCUCACCCGAUGGUGCAUCCUCCUCACCCACGGCAUUCACAUCAUCAUGUAUACGAUUAGUAUAGGAAUACUCUUAUACGUGACCUUCAUCUUGAUCAUGCUGCAUGUGGAGCAAGGGCACAUGUUCUUUGGUGGCGGCGUUUUCCGCAGUUUCUUUAUGUGCCUUCGCUACUAUUCGCUACUAUUUCGGAGUGCAUAGCUCGGAAACACCUAUCUGUUUCCCAGGAAACAGCGUCGUUUCCAGGGAAAUGCCCUUUCUAAGGAAAAGCCCUCGUAGUACGGAAAACUCUUUUCACAUCAAAUUUGAAGCCAACAAUUAUUGGAAACUGCUUUCCGAGCAUCUCCUAUUGACUUAGUAUCCAUGGAAUACCCAAUCUGUAAGGUUUUGCAGUUCGUUAGCGCGCGCUUCUGAGACCAUGUCGUAUGGCUGUGUGAGGUUAUGGCGCGCUAAUAUGACUAUUUAAGCGGACCAUUUCAUGAACAUUGUAAGUCUAAGUUGAAAUUGAAAGCCCGAUCUUCUGUGCUUACGCAAGUAUAUCGGCCAGUAAAGUCAGCUUGCACUUCCCAGUUGUUAGGAGCGGCCUGGUUCCCUUUCAAUUGGUAUCAGAGCCUAGGUGAUCCUCCUGGGUGGUGGAGCGAAUGUGACGCGACUGGGUGAGGGGGGAUGUUUCGCUGGGUUAGGCAUGGGGCCAAAGUAACCUACUGUAACGAACGCGUUUUGGGUUUCUCGUCCCGGUUCUUGGUCUGGCUAGCUGCUCAGCCCGGAUUCAAAAUCUUAUUUUAGGCGUAGCCGAAAAUUUGGUUUAAAGAGGGGCGUCAGAGCGGCGUCGUACGGUGCAGUUAGUUGGUUGUUAUUUUGAACUGCUAUUUGAUCGGUGGGGUUUAGUCUUGUCGAAUUAUCUUCCGGGCGAUCUCGGACUCAGCUGCUGGUUGAUACGAGCUCUCUUUACCAGAACAGCUGCUAGCUGCCGCUGUUAUUGUCCGUUGGUCAGCGGUGUGAAUUUGACGACCUUUCUUAUCGCCAAAUCGUUAUUUUCGUUAUUUUCUCGCGCAUCUUGGAGGGCGGUGGAUUAGGAGGCCCUUGGUUACCUCCUGACGACUCAUUGUCUGCCAUCGCUGGAUGUUACAGACCAGAAGCUAUAAAAGUAUUAUGAAAAGUGUCCCCCCUGGAUCUCACUGCAACCCCCUGCACAGCCCCAUGGAACCCUCUUAACGACGCUGCCACCAGCGCUUCACUGUGCCCAACGCCUGGAACGUGGGCAGGGGUACGGACUUCUUCGCCCUGAUAGCGACCGAGUGAUCGACCCAUGGGAGUAGAUCGUAUAAAGUAUUCGGGAUCGAGUGUUCGACAGACGGCUGUGCGUAACACAGUAUCGAUUGUAAAAGUGACCGAAUACGAAAGCAAAUCGACCCAGUAGAGAAUGGCCCGAAAUUGCUGAAUAGUAGGGCAGCUGUGCGUAACACUGCUAACAGGUGUGGCUGGCGUGACCUAGCCUACCUAACCUACCAAAAAGGGUGCUGGGAAAAGCAACCCGAAUAUCCCCUAGGCGACAGAACACCUAAGGUGAACCAAAACCGAACUUACUUGGUCUUCUAGCCUGAUUUAGGCUUUACGGCUAUGGAAUGCAGGGUGGUCUAGGCGAAGUCCUGCAGGUAGCUGGAAUGCUGACUAGACGGCACACGAGCGGGCAAGUCGUAAUACGCAGCAAAUAGCAACCCGCGAAAGGGGCCAAGAUUCCCUCCAGGCAACAAAUCAACAGUGAUAAAGAUUUACCUUACCGACUGAGUAUGCCCGGCGUGAAGGAUAUGGGCGUUGAGUGGCCCACACAGGAGUUCGGCUGGUGGAAGGAAGUUACUUAUGCGGCUUAAGAAAAGGGAGGUCCGCACAGGGCUUGUUGUCUAGCUCAGAGAACUUUACAAUGUUCCAAUCAUGAGCCGUAAAGCGACUUUUCCAAGCUCGCUGCCGGCUAUAAAUACCGAAGUCUCACUGUCGAUCACAGGAGGCCCUCAAAAGAUAAGCCUCGAGUACGACCACGACGUAUAGUCCACAAAUGACACAAGUGAAACACCUUAUAACCCGUGUGACAGACAUUCACACAAGAAAUAACAAUUCACAAGUAAAGUACAUAACGUACGCAAACGAGCGUACAUUCUCGUCUCGUCCAUANNNNNNNNNNNNNNNNNNNNNNNNNNNNNNNNNNNNNNNNNNNNNNNNNNUGCGCGCGCUUCUGAGACAUGUCGUAUGGCUGUGUGAGGUUAUGGCGCGCUAAUAUGACUAUUUAAGCGGACCAUUUCAUGAACAUUGUAAGUCUAAGUUGAAAUUGAAAGCCCGAUCUUCUGUGCUUACGCAAGUAUAUCGGCCAGUAAAGUCAGCUUGCACUUCCCAGUUGUUAGGAGCGGCCUGGUUCCCUUUCAAUUGGUAUCAGAGCCUAGGUGAUCCUCCUGGGUGGUGGAGCGAAUGUGACGCGACUGGGUGAGGGGGGAUGUUUCGCUGGGUUAGGCAUGGGGCCAAAGUAACCUACUGUAACGAACGCGUUUUGGGUUUCUCGUCCCGGUUCUUGGUCUGGCUAGCUGCUCAGCCCGGAUUCAAAAUCUUAUUUUAGGCGUAGCCGAAAAUUUGGUUUAAAGAGGGGCGUCAGAGCGGCGUCGUACGGUGCAGUUAGUUGGUUGUUAUUUUGAACUGCUAUUUGAUCGGUGGGGUUUAGUCUUGUCGAAUUAUCUUCCGGGCGAUCUCGGACUCAGCUGCUGGUUGAUACGAGCUCUCUUUACCAGAACAGCUGCUAGCUGCCGCUGUUAUUGUCCGUUGGUCAGCGGUGUGAAUUUGACGACCUUUCUUAUCGCCAAAUCGUUAUUUUCGUUAUUUUCUCGCGCAUCUUGGAGGGCGGUGGAUUAGGAGGCCCUUGGUUACCUCCUGACGACUCAUUGUCUGCCAUCGCUGGAUGUUACAGACCAGAAGCUAUAAAAGUAUUAUGAAAAGUGUCCCCCCUGGAUCUCACUGCAACCCCCUGCACAGCCCCAUGGAACCCUCUUAACGACGCUGCCACCAGCGCUUCACUGUGCCCAACGCCUGGAACGUGGGCAGGGGUACGGACUUCUUCGCCCUGAUAGCGACCGAGUGAUCGACCCAUGGGUCAGGUGGAACUGACUGCAUUAACCCCAGCCUCUCUAAGCGAGCCGUUACCAUGUUGUUGUGCUCCGUAAGCAUUUCCUGGAAAUAAAACUCCGCCCUC
rnacentral:lncRNA from 1 species